UAGCUUGGCCACUCUCAGCUUAGAGCUAUGGGAGGCAUCGGAUGACCUACGGUUGUUCUCUUAUCCCUCAAAGUCCAUGUUCUCGGUAGACCGAGACCUCGUCCUCUCGCAACGAAGCUUCUCUUUAGGUGGACUGGUUGCUGGGCUCUGUCCUUGAAGCAGGAACUCCUCUAACGUGGCCAUCGCUAUAUCGACGUCAUACAACAUGCCGCUCGAAUUUGAGUCAAGUGGAAUCGAAGAGCAUUAAUAGAUGCCUCCUCCAAUUGUCAUUCGAUUCGCCUAGCCAAUUCCAUCUUUGAUGAUGUUAAAGCGUGGAGUAUAUUGGCGGCCUUAAGAAGUUUGAGCAAAAAACUGCAUGUAACAGAGCCAUUUUCAGUGGGGAGUAAUCUCACUAUCUUCUCCAUUAGUAGCUUAUGCUUCAUGGUAACUUCUUUGCAAGACUCCGGGAAGGAGUCAUCAGCUUCCGGCUCACUCGAUUAACCCUGAUGAUCUCUGCUGAGUCGUUAACAUCUAUCUUAGAGCCAAAGAGUAAAUCAAAGUGUCGAAGUUGUAGAGGGACAAAGGCGGAGGAUGAGGAGCUCUCAAAGGAGGCGACGGAGGAGCAAGCCGACUCGUUUCGAAGGAUGAGUGGUGUAAUGGAGAGAGGGGUGGCAGUGUUGACGCUCACGGAUGCUCCGAAGAUGGAUUAGAAUAUGGUUAUGCCUAUGGCGGUGCUCUCAUCAGAGUGGUGGACACAAGAGGAGGAAGAGGUGAUGGUGAUGGAGCUAACGAGAUAGGGCACGUUUGGGCAGAUAUCGACAAAGGAGUGCCCAAGGUUUAUUAUCGCCGAUGGUAUUAGAAAAAAAGAGAUAAAUUGUUUUACUUUUAUAACUAUUAGGAUUUUAAGUAUAAAUUUUUGAAGUAAAAGAAUUGUGAUGCUACGAGGGUCUAAAUAGGAGUAAUAAUUAAUAGUAAUUAGCCCUUGAUAACCCUUCCGCCUUCGUCACGCUCUCCUCUCCUCCGGCCUUCGUCCCCGACGAGUUCAGUGUCCUCUUCUCCGCUGUAUCCAACUGAAGCGUGGGAAGCUGUUCCACGAACACUCCCUUUUCUUCGAAUGCGCCAGCGAUUUCUUCGUGCGUGAAGCGCUGGUCGACAUGUGAUCCAAGUGCGGCGAUGUCUUAGGCGCUCGGCAGGUAUCUGAUUCUGAACACCCAACUCCAGGUGGCACAAGGCCAAAGUUACUUGACUUGUUGGAUGAUUAGCUGUAUUGAUGGUAUGGAUUGUAACAGAUGAAGAGUUUGACCUUGGUGCUUGGAAGACUAUGAGCUUUGCAAUGAGCUUCUUUAUUGCGUGGAGGCAACUAAGCCAUGUUCCAUUUGAUGGCAAUGGCAGCAGUGGACCCCUCUUUUGCCAACCAGGUUUUAGUAGGUAACCGAACUCCUUUGCAGUUGCCACGUAUAGUUUAGACUAUAAUUCCAUUGGGACUUGGGAGUAUCUUGCCAGUUGUUUUAUCUUGGCAUUAGAAAGCUUACAUGUUUAUUGUGAUUAUUCUAGUCAAGGAAGAAACAGGAACAAUCGUUCUUCUUCUGAUUCCUUCUUGUGGCUGUUUGUAUUUAUGUUGGUGCACCAUUUUUGCUGAAACCGCAGACAA